rnacentral:misc_RNA from 1 species
CUAGAAUUGCCGAAAGGCUCCUAAACCAUUGUGAACCUAUCCAAGUAGCUCGGGGGGCUCCCUCGCGGGGGACGCACUGCCCCUGCUUUCCCGGAGGUAAGGCAGCCCGCCGGAGGCUACUUAAACUCUGUAUUAUAGUGGCCUCUCUGAGUAAACUUAUUAAUAAGUUCA